UGCGAUCCGAACUGAGAACAGAUUUGUGGGAUUGGCUAAACCUUGCGGUCUCGCAGCCCUUUGUUCUGUCCAUUGUAGCACGUGUGUAGCCCAGGUCAUAAGGGGCAUGAUGAUUUGACGUCAUCCCCACCUUCCUCCGGUUUGUCACCGGCAGUCACCUUAGAGUGCCCAACUGAAUGCUGGCAACUAAGAUCAAGGGUUGCGCUCGUUGCGGGACUUAACCCAACAUCUCACGACACGAGCUGACGACAACCAUGCACCACCUGUCACUCUGUCCCCGAAGGGAAAGCCCUAUCUCUAGGGUUGUCAGAGGAUGUCAAGACCUGGUAAGGUUCUUCGCGUUGCUUCGAAUUAAACCACAUGCUCCACCGCUUGUGCGGGCCCCCGUCAAUUCCUUUGAGUUUCAGUCUUGCGACCGUACUCCCCAGGCGGAGUGCUUAAUGCGUUAGCGUGCCAGCAGCCGCGGUAAUACGUAGGUGGCAAGCGUUGUCCGGAAUUAUUGGGCGUAAAGCGCGCGCAGGUGGUUUCUUAAGUCUGAUGUGAAAGCCCACGGCUCAACCGUGGAGGGUCAUUGGAAACUGGGAGACUUGAGUGCAGAAGAGGAUAGUGGAAUUCCAAGUGUAGCGGUGAAAUGCGUAGAGAUUUGGAGGAACACCAGUGGCGAAGGCGACUAUCUGGUCUGUAACUGACACUGAGGCGCGAAAGCGUGGGGAGCAAACAGGAUUAGAUACCCUGGUAGUCCACGCCGUAAACGAUGAGUGCUAAGUGUUAGGGGGUUUCCGCCCCUUAGUGCUGCAGCUAACGCAUUAAGCACUCCGCCUGGGGAGUACGGUCGCAAGACUGAAACUCAAAGGAAUUGACGGGGGCCCGCACAAGCGGUGGAGCAUGUGGUUUAAUUCGAAGCAACGCGAAGAACCUUACCAGGUCUUGACAUCCCGUUGACCACUGUAGAGAUAUGGUUUCCCCUUCGGGGGCAACGGUGACAGGUGGUGCAUGGUUGUCGUCAGCUCGUGUCGUGAGAUGUUGGGUUAAGUCCCGCAACGAGCGCAACCCUUGAUCUUAGUUGCCAUCAUUUAGUUGGGCACUCUAAGGUGACUGCCGGUGACAAACCGGAGGAAGGUGGGGAUGACGUCAAAUCAUCAUGCCCCUUAUGACCUGGGCUACACACGUGCUACAAUGGACGAUACAAACGGUUGCCAACUCGCGAGAGGGAGCUAAUCCGAUAAAGUCGUUCUCAGUUCGGAUUGUAGGCUGCAACUCGCCUACAUGAAGCCG
rnacentral:rRNA from 1 species